rnacentral:rRNA from 1 species
AGUGAACGCUGGCGGUAGGCCUAACACAUGCAAGUCGAACGGCAGCACAGUAAGAGCUUGCUCUUACGGGUGGCGAGUGGCGGACGGGUGAGGAAUACAUCGGAAUCUACUUUUUCGUGGGGGAUAACGUAGGGAAACUUACGCUAAUACCGCAUACGACCUACGGGUGAAAGCAGGGGAUCUUCUGACCUUGCGCGAUUGAAUGAGCCGAUGUCGGAUUAGCUAGUUGGCGGGGUAAAGGCCCACCAAGGCGACGAUCCGUAGCUGGUCUGAGAGGAUGAUCAGCCACACUGGAACUGAGACACGGUCCAGACUCCUACGGGAGGCAGCAGUGGGGAAUAUUGGACAAUGGGCGCAAGCCUGAUCCAGCCAUACCGCGUGGGUGAAGAAGGCCUUCGGGUUGUAAAGCCCUUUUGUUGGGAAAGAAAAGCAGCAGGUUAAUACCCCGCUGUUCUGACGGUACCUAAAGAAUAAGCACCGGCUAACUUCGUG